AUGGUGCGGAUGAUGAAGCCGAAGAAGGACGGCGCGCCGCCCGCUUUCGUGCACGACCUGCCGCACCACGGGACGACGGCGGCUCCUUGCCGCCAGCGCACUGAAGAGGAGCGCGACGCGUCCAUCAUCUGCCAUGUCCACCACGCCCUCCGCCACUACAACGCCACCAACCCGGGCUCGGAGAAGAAGAUCGCCAGCAGCAAACGGAGGCGCAACCAGGCCAACGACGCGGACAAGACCUUCUUCGCCGAGCUGCGCUACAGCCACCACCACUCAGGCGCGCCGGCCGUUGAAACAUGCGCCAUCAUCGAGAAAUCGUCGCGCAAAAGUCACUUGAAGACCGCGUGUGCAUUUUGCCCCGAGAGCUUUCAGAUUUUGCACCCACUUGACGGGAGCUUCAUGUGCGGAAAGAAGUGCCAGGCAAACGAAGGCCAGGGUUUCAUAUAUUUCACGAACCUGCUUGAGUUACUGUUCACAUGCCCCACGGCCAGUGGACCCGGCAAGGAGGAUGCAGCAGCGCCAAAGAAGGAGGAGGAGGAGCAUAGUAGCGUCCUGAGCUGGGCCGCCCUCCCCUUUCAUUUUCUCGGUAAUCUUAUUACAAGGGUUUUACCGGCCUUUGAUGAUAAGCAUAUGGACUAG
rnacentral:rRNA from 1 species